rnacentral:rRNA from 1 species
GUGGGGAAUAUUGGACAAUGGGGGGAACCCUGAUCCAGCCAUGCCGCGUGUGUGAAGAAGGCCUUUUGGUUGUAAAGCACUUUAAGCGAGGAGGAGGCUACCGAGAUUAAUACUCUUGGAUAGUGGACGUUACUCGCAGAAUAAGCACCGGCUAACUCUGUGCCAGCAGCCGCGGUAAUACAGCGGGUGCAAGCGUUAAUCGGAUUUACUGGGCGUAAAGCGCGCGUAGGUGGCCAAUUAAGUCAAAUGUGAAAUCCACGAGCUUAACUUGGGAAUUGCAGUCGAUACUGGUUGGCUAGAGUAUGGGAGAGGAUGGUAGAAUUCCAGGUGUAGCGGUGAAAUGCGUAGAGAUCUGGAGGAAUACCGAUGGCGAAGGCAGCCAUCUGGCCUAAUACUGACACUGAGGUGCGAAAGCAUGGGGAGCAAACAGGAUUAGAUACCCUAGUAGUCC